rnacentral:rRNA from 1 species
AGUGAACGCUGGCGGUAGGCCUAACACAUGCAAGUCGAACGGCAGCACAGGAGAGCUUGCUCUCUGGGUGGCGAGUGGCGGACGGGUGAGGAAUACAUCGGAAUCUACUCUGUCGUGGGGGAUAACGUAGGGAAACUUACGCUAAUACCGCAUACGACCUACGGGUGAAAGCAGGGGAUCUUCGGACCUUGCGCGAUUGAAUGAGCCGAUGUCGGAUUAGCUAGUUGGCGGGGUAAAGGCCCACCAAGGCGACGAUCCGUAGCUGGUCUGAGAGGAUGAUCAGCCACACUGGAACUGUGACACGGUCCAGACUCCUACGGGAGGCAGCAGUGGGGAAUAUUGGACAAUGGGCGCAAGCCUGAUCCAGCCAUGCCGCGUGGGUGAAGAAGGCCUUCGGGUUGUAAAGCCCUUUUGUUGGGAAAGAAAUCCAGCUGGCUAAUACCCGGUCGGGAUGACGGUACCCAAAGAAUAAGCACCGGCUAACUUCGUGCCAGCCGCCGCAGUAA